AAAAGAAACUAACAAGGAUUCCCCUAGUAACUGCGAGUGAAGCGGGAAGAGCUCAAAUUUAAAAUCUGGCGUGCCUCUGGUCGUCCGAGUUGUAGUCUGGAGAAGCGUUUUCCGUGUUGGACCGUGUAUAAGUCUCUUGGAACAGGGCGUCAUAGAGGGUGAGAAUCCCGUCUUUGACACGGACUACCAAUGCUUUGUGAUGCGCUCUCAAAGAGUCGAGUUGUUUGGGAAUGCAGCUCAAAAUGGGUGGUAAAUUCCAUCUAAAGCUAAAUAUAGGCGAGAGACCGAUAGCGAACAAGUACCGUGAGGGAAAGAUGAAAAGCACUUUGGAAAGAGAGUUAAACAGUACAUGAAAUUGCUGAAAGGGAAACGCUUGAAGUCAGUCACGUCUGCCAGGACUCAGCCUUGCUCCUGCUUGGUGUACUUUCUGGUUUGAUGGGCCAACAUCAAUUUCAAUCGUCGGAGAAAGGCAUUGGGAACGUGGCACCUUCGGGUGUGUUAUAGCCCUUUGUUGUAUACGACGGUUGGGAUUGAGGACUGCAGCACGCCUUCAUGGCCGGGGUUCGCCCACGUACGUGCUUAGGAUGUUGGCAUAAUGGCUUUAAGCGA
rnacentral:rRNA from 1 species